rnacentral:rRNA from 1 species
CCUACGUGCGGCAGCAGUGGGGGAUAUUGCACAAUGGGGGGAACCCUGAUGCAGCGACGCCGCGUGGGUGAAGGAGCGUUUCGGCGCGUAAAGCCCUAUCGGCAGGGAAGAAGAUGACGGUACCUGACCAAGAAGCCCCGGCUAACUACGUGCCAGCAGCCGCGGUAAAACGCAGGGGGCAAGCGUUAGCCGGAUUGCCUGGGUGGCAAGGGGGCGCAGACGGCAAUGCAAGCCAGGAGUGAAAGCCCGGGGCCCACCCCCGGGACUGCGCUUGGAACUGCAUGGCUGGCGUACAGGUUGGGCAGGCGGAAUUCCUAGUGUAGCGGUGAAAUGCGUAGAUAGUAGGAGGAACACCGGUGGC